AACUGUGUUGUGCCAUCGAUUGACAGCGAAGAGUCGGCUGCAGGUGACAGUGACCACAGCCGGUACGGUCAGAUGGGGCAGAGUGUUGGCAGCCACGUGUGUUACCGGGGUACAGCAGCAGGGGUGAGCAUGAUGGUGCGGUGAAGAUGGAAGAAGGAGAUUCAAAUGUCUCCACCUAAAUGUAGUAGAACCUGUGUGCAAAGAAAGCAGACCACUUCAGAGAGCGUCUCUCACAGGGCACGCAUUUAUUAACAUGUGGACUUCUGUCACAUAUGUCAAAGAAGUCUAUUAUAAACUUUUAGAUCUAAAUUUCUCAGAUUGCAAUCAGAAUUGUGGGACUUCACAGAUGGUUAACAUGAAACUGCAACCAUAUGUAACUCUCAAAAUUAUAUUAAAUAAAAACUGGGUUUGGUAAAAUCAUCUUGGGAUAACGGUUUGCACUAACUCUUUGUCAGUGGUUAGGCUACUAUCACCUGGGUUAGAAACUGGACAUGACAGACGUUUUAACAUUUCUCAAGUUGGAACUGUUUUGCAGCAUCUUUUUGGAGAAAUAAAUA